rnacentral:rRNA from 1 species
GUACACGCUGUGACUAGCAUAUCAAUAAGCGGAGGAAAAGAAACUAACAAGGAUUCCCCUAGUAACGGCGAGUGAAGCGGGAAGAGCUCAAAUUUGAAAUCUUAAAGGGUUUCCCUUUACGAAUUGUAGUUUAAAGAAGUGUUUUCUGUUGAGGUUUUGGUAAAAGUUCUUUGGAAUAGGACAUCAUAGAGGGUGAGAAUCCCGUAUUUGACCUUUACUUUCAACUUUGUGAUACACUUUCAAAGAGUCGGAUUGUUUGGGAAUGCAGUCCAAAAUGGGUGGUAAAUUUCAUCUAAAGCUAAAUAUUGGCGAGAGACCGAUAGCGAACAAGUACCGUGAGGGAAAGAUGAAAAGAACUUUGAAAAGAGAGUUAAACAGUACGUGAAAUUGUCAAAAGGGAAGCGUUUGACACCAGUGUUGUUUUUCUGAAAAUCAAUUAAAGAACUGUUUAUGCUAAGUUGUUUAGACUUUAUCAGCUACUGUUUAGUUUUGAGCUUUUCUUUAAUGCACUUUUCAGUUAACAAGUCAACAUCAAUUUCUUUUGCUGUAAAAAAGCUUGAGGAAGGUGGCUUGAGAUUCGUCUUAAGUGUUUAUAGCCUCUUGCCUAUGCAGUCGGAGAGAUUGAGGUCUGCAGCGUAGAUCCUUCGGGGCUAAAUGCAUUUGUGCUAAGUUAUAGCGUUUCAUAGACAACUUGUUGACUAUGAUUUGUCUUGUAGCUUACUCGCUUAUGUUAUUUUACCUACGCUUAGGAUGUUGACGAGACUGUCGAUCUC